UACGUAGGGGGCUAGCGUUGUCCGGAAUCAUUGGGCGUAAAGCGCGUGUAGGCGGUCCGGUAAGUCCGCUGUGAAAGUCGAGGGCUCAACCCUCGAAUGCCGGUGGAUACUGUCGGGCUUGAGUACGGGAGAGGCGAGUGGAAUUCCUGGUGUAGCGAUGAAAUGCGCAGAUAUCAGGAGGAACACCGAUGGCGAAGGCAGCUCGCUGGGACGGUACUGACGCUGAGGCGCGAAAGCGUGGGGAGCAAACAGG
rnacentral:rRNA from 1 species